rnacentral:rRNA from 1 species
UACGAAGGGGGCUAGCGUUGUUCGGAAUCACUGGGCGUAAAGCGCACGUAGGCGGAUGUGCCAGUCAGGGGUGAAAUCCGGAGCUCAACUCCGGAACUGCCUCUGAUACAGCACGUCUUGAGUUCGAGAGAGGUGGGUGGAAUUCCUAGUGUAGAGGUGAAAUUCGUAGAUAUUAGGAAGAACACCGGUGGCGAAGGCGGCCCACUGGCUCGAUACUGACGCUGAGGUGCGAAAGCCAGGGGAGCGAACGGG